AUUUCUUUACCGAAAAAGUAGUAACUCUUUGGUGUAUUUUUACUGAUUUUGAUUUUAUUUUACCGACUAAUAUUUUGAUUAGAGUUUCGAUUGUAGUAACAAUGACUUAGGGAUUUUAAAAUUGAAAGUACUUAGAAUAAAAUUCAUGACUACUAUGGUAUUUGCGUAACAACUUAAAAAAAAUAGGACUUGUCUGUUAAAUACUUUAUCUUUGUUUGAAUUUGUCGGCUUGUAAUCUAUAUAUUGAUAUAAAGGAGGGACUAGAAGAGGUGAUGUGUCAUAUCUCUUUGACUACGAAUCAUCAUUUAUCUAUUUCCUCAUUUUUAGGCUUUUCAGAAAAUUAAAUUUAUCUAUUACUUAAAAAAAGGUCUCUUCAAAAGUCGCUUCCCCUCGCUGAAAAGUCACUCUCUACUACCUUGUCCGAUAAUUAUAUGUUCCACUGUAUCUCUCCCUCUCAUACCGGGCAAUGUGAUUAUUAAGUAAUGUGAUAAAGAAAAAGAAAAGGAUGCAAAGCGGAGGAGAUGAAGUUACCAUUAAAGAAUUGGUUUCAAAUCUCUACUUACAGAAAAUAACUUAUGAUGUAAGGAAACUAAAGGCAGAAGUGAAGUUUCUAUUAUGCACUCUUCCUGAAACUCCGAGAACUACUGCUCACUGAGUUAAAGUUGCACAUCUGAUCAAAUGGCAUGAGUUUUUAGGUUUUGGACAGAGGACGAUAGCUGCACCAAAGCGACGACGGGACUGAGACAAAGUCACAGAUGCGGGAUAAAGACUUAGACGAGAAAUAUGAGAGGAUAAUGACUUAUUUAAUGAUUCCAGUGAUGUUUCCCAAUUUGGACUGCUCACCGAACUGCUUUUUUACAUGGUUACUUGAGCACAAGCUUUCCAUCGAAGAUAUUCACAGAAAAAUUGAUGUGCAUGGUCCAUCUAGAUGCUUCUGUUGUAAUGAAUACUCUGAAGAGACCUUCAAUCGUUUAUUUUGCAUUGGUGAACUUGCAACUAAAGUCUAUACUUAUUUUUGCAAAAGUGCAGGUUUCACUUUUAAUGCCUCAUACUACUAAAAACAUGUUCAUGCAUUUGUGGCAGUAACGCAAAAAUUAAGCUGCAAUCUUUCAUUUUUCAAUGCUUGCCUUCUGUCGUAUGUUGGGAAUUGGGAGAUGCAAUCAUACAAAUGCACCUAGAGAUUUGAUGCCAUCAGAACAUCUUUUUGAAGAGUCACUGAACAGUGCAAUUAUCUUAUGAAGCUCAUGAUCAAUGCUCAGUUUCCUAUAUUCUCUUCCUCUGCCACAUGAUUGGAGCUUUGUGAUUUUGCUGACAGAGAGAAGCACCAGCUGAAUACCACUGUUAAAUGCGAAAAUAGUAUUGGGUCAUCUUCCAAUUCAACCUGUAACUCAUAUAAGAUGUCUGCUUUCGGCUUUAUUUUUAGUAAAAGUGCUGUUAAGCUCA